AUGUGUGUCACGAACAGGGAUGAUUGAUUCCUGUCACGAGUAACACACGGCAGCACUACCGAGAUGCAUGUCAGUGUUGUGUGUACUGGUGACGCGGUUGGCACGGUGCAAUAUCUACCUGAAGCCCAUUAUUUAGCAUCCGCAGGACCACUGACCUCCCUCUCGAGUAUUGCCCGUCACUGUUGCUUCUGGUGGCAUGCCGGUCCUGGAACGCUUUUAUAUACUCAUGGAUCCAAACAUGUCCCACUGCUGUACCAUUAACAAUUCCAUGCAUGAUGCAUCAAGCACGUCCUACUAAUAUAUAUACCUGUAAAGAUUUUAAUUGGAUAACCAAUAAUGCCAAACCUUAAACAAUCGGAGUUGCUGAUACAUUUAUAAAUUGUGUCAUCCCUUCUUAUGUGUCGAUCGGUUAGGCUCGACUCCUGAAAUUGAAUAUACGAUAUGGUACAAGACAAAUGGAGAAGAAUAUAUUACUAUGAUGAAAGUUUUGAUUGGCUAAUUGUUGAUCCCCAAAGGUUUAAGCUAUGAGAAGAGUUAAAAUGCAUGUAAACUGUGUCCUAAGUAGAUUUUACAUGAAUUGAGCUAUGAUCAAUCUUGGCCUACUUAAUUAUGACCGUACAAUUUACCUCAGAUAGUAUGUAUUAUUAUGAUCAGUAAUUGUGGUUUUCUAACUAAUGUUAGAUCCUCAUUCAAAGGUGGCAUGAAUUGAAUGCCUUCUUUUCUUCUUUAAUCUUAAGCAUCAUGAAGCAUGUGAGCAUCUGAGAAGAUAUGGUGGCAGCAGACCAUUUUGGAGAGUGUUGUCCCACAAGCUCAUGAACCAUGUGUUUUGAUUCCUAUACAAUCUGAGCAAGCUAUAAAUCUUAUUGCACCAAUGUGGUGGGGGAGGUGGGAAACAUUCUGGUUAGUCUUUUUUUUGGGAAGAUAUUGGUGGGUGAAUCUUCCUCCUCACUAGAUAAAUCUCACAAGUUGUCUCAUUAA
rnacentral:lncRNA from 1 species